GUUGACGGUUCUUAAGUAUCAAUUUUAAUUAUCAAAUAAACAAGAGAAAGGACCAAUAUACAAACAACACCUAGAAUUAGGGUUUGAUCUGACAGAAUUCCACGAGUUUUGUUGUUUAUCUGUUUCUACAGGGGGUUAUCAGGAAAUAAGGAAGAAAGGCCCACAUGUCGGGAUUACAUAGAGAUAUUAACACACUGCGCAAUUUUCUACCAUCUAGAAGACUCCAGAAGCCACGGGAACGAACGGGAAGGCGAUCGGGCCUAGGGGCAGGGCGCCCGCCCAGGUGUUGGGCCAAUCACGUCCAACUUCGCGGAUCAGGCUCCACCGACCUAAAGGAUCAAGGAUAACCAUUCAAUCAAUGUCGGUUUGAUCCGACGGCCCACGUUCACCUGAGGGGACUAUAUAAGCAGACCCCCUGGCCCCUGGAGGAGAACAAGUUCAUCAUAGAGUUGAGAGGUGCCCUCGAAGGAUAACCUUUCCUCUACAUAGACUUAGGGCUUAGCAUCCAAUGUGAGAGUAGACUAGUUCUACUAUAUUGAGAGAGAUAGAGUGGAGGUGUAGAUCGGAGGAAGCCCGGCCUAUCGGUGUUUACUCCGAGGUUGUACGUGCGGGAUCAAGUUCUCCUAACCCGAAGCUUGCUCCUAAGAUUCUUCAGUAUUUCGACUUCUAAAUUCUAGUAAGUUCUUGUUUUAUUGUUCUUUGGUUUAUGAGUUUACUUUAGUCUCUUCACGUAGAGUUUAGAGUAAUCAUCUCUGGCAUAAACGUGGUGUUUGGGCUAGGAUACUCAUAGAUAUCCCCUGACUAGCUGGACCGUGGUAGUAGCGAGGAACGUGACAUUUCUGAGUUACCUUUGCAGCCCAUAUCCCGUUAGAUGGAUGGAUAGGGUUUAUAGCUGCAGGUUGAACAUCCUCUGUGGUGUCUAGAUUCUGUGAGCCUCCCCAAUAGAACAAUAGAUCAUCCUUACCAAGGUUAGAAAGAGAUUAUGGUUGUAGUCUUCUCUAUACAUCGCUCACAUCGAGAAACAUUCUUUGUAGCCUAAAGGUUAGUAGUAAUAGACCAGGUUAGUCAGAUGCACUCUUUCUCCUAGUGGUAAAAAUAUAAAUACAAUACUCUGGAUAACAUCCCGGGUGAAGUGCUCAGCGAUAUCCGUGCGCUUGCGGAUCAAUUCCUUAUUGCGUUCCCAAAUAUCAACAAGCAUUUCUGGCGCCGUUGCCGGGGAGAAAGGCGGUUUGCUGAGAAAACCUUAAGUCUUACUACUAGCUUGUAUCUAUACUUUUAUCUUUUCUUAUCUUUUAUAUUCUUUAUUUAUUUUCUUUAUUCUUACUUUAUGGAAAACCAAGAUUCUAAAUCGAUCUAUCAAUUUGCAACACCUUCGGAAACUGACCUUUUACCAUGGGAGUCAUCACAUCCUAUCCAAACAUCCCAGUAUAGGUUAAGUUCCAGGAUGAUUGCCAUGAUUCAAAACCUAUCUUUUUCAGGAAAGGAAGACGAAAACCCUUACCUUCAUAUUAGAGAUUUUGAGCAAACAUGUGAUUGUCUUCGCAUUGAAGGCAUUUCUGAUAAAACUUUACGUUGGAAGCUUUUUACUUUUUAUUUAAUCGGAGAAGCUAGACAAUGGUACAGUCAGAAGGUAAGUCAAAAAUGAGGUGAAUGGGGAGUUUUACGAGCCAACUUUUGCCUAUAUUUUUAUUCCCUCGACCGUAUCGGUGACAUUAGACUCGAAGUCCUAUCUUUUAAACAAAAAGGUAAUGAAACUUUGGGAAAAUCCUGGAAACGUUUUUCUGAUCUUUUAGAAUCUGGUCCAAACCUUAAUAUUGAAUUUCAUUUUUUUCAAGGUCUUCAGAAAGAUCAUAAACAAAUGCUACAUACAAUGUCUAGAGGUUCUUUCGCAUCCCUACCGAUGACGCUAGAGUGAUCCUAGAUAGAAUCCUAGAAGCUGAGAUGGAUAAUACCCUCCAUGAUGAAACCCACAAAGCCGAAGUAGACACUCUGCCAAAUUCUCUAUCUACUUUGGCUAUCCCAAGUUCUGAGCCACAAAAGGAAAAAAUUCCACCACCUGAUUUCAUGCUGGAUAUAGAAUCUGAUCUUUUUGCCAAUUUUGGAAAUAUUUCAAACUACCAUUCUACUAACAAACUCCAAAACGGCCAUUUUAGCAUUUGUUUGCCAACUGAACAUCAAUUGAGAGAGCUUAUCGCAGUCAUAAGUAGCGAAUGGUUGGAAGAGUCAGAGCUUUCCUCUGAUGUGAUCUGUUUGGACACACCUCCUAUAACUAUACGCUGUGCUUAUGAUUCUGAUCAAUUUGAUGCUCUCUAUAAUCCUAUUGUGGGGAUCAACAUCAUGUCUGAAUCUUUUGCACUUAAACUAUUUAAAAAUUUGGUCCUAACCCCCACAAUAAAGGUCAUAAAGGAAUCUUCGGGACGAUUAGUCCCCAGUCUUGGAAUUAUUAAUGUCCUACCCUUAUUGGUAGAAGGCUCCAUGGUUUAUUUGAACUUCUAUAUCUUUGAUACAUGGGACUUCGACCUGUUGAUAGGACAACCUUUUAGAAGACUCCUUUAUGAAGGUCAUAUUGGAAAGCUACACUUUUCUUUUGGAAAAACUUUUAAAAUUCCAAUAACGAUUUCACACUCCUUAAAUAAUAAGGCCGAGUCAUAUCUUUUGCCUGAUCCUAUGGAGGAGGUAAAGGCUGCAUCUGUAGAGCUUUUAGAUGAAUCAGACUUAGAAGACGAAGCUCCUUUCUUCAUAGAAGAAGAAGCUGAACCAUCUGAACCUGAACCCUUAGACGAGUUUGCAGAAACACCUAGACCUCCCAUAGAGCUUAAAACUUUACCACCCGGUCUUAUCUAUGCUUUCCUAAACAAUAAUCCAGAGUUUCCUGUGAUCAUUAGUGAUAAACUCACACAAGAGCAAACUCUGCGAUUGAUGACCAUUCUUGAGAAACAUCACUCAGUUUUUGGCUACUCACUCCAAGAUCUUACAGGAAUCAGUCCUAUGAUUUGUACCCAUCGUAUUCCAACAGAUCCUUCUGUUUCACCUUCUCGAGAGCCCCAACGUAGACUGAACAACGCGAUGAGAGAGGUAGUUAAAAAGGAAGUUAUAAAGUUGCUGCAUGCAGGGAUUAUAUAUCCUGUGCCGCACAGUGAGUGGGUGAGCCCAGUUCAAGUUGUGCCUAAAAAUGGAGGCAUGACUGUCGUUAUGAAUGAAAAUAACGAGCUAAUUCCGCAACGCACCGUCAUAAGGUGGCGGAUGUGCAUAGACUAUAGAAAACUAAACAAAGCCACGAGAAAGGAUCAUUUUCCUUUACCUUUCAUAGAUGAGAUGCUAGAGCGAUUAGCAAACCAUUCGUUCUUCUGUUUCUUGGAUGGAUAUUCAGGGUAUCACCAGAUCCCGAUCCAUCCCGAUGAUCAAAGCAAAACCACUUUUACAUGCCCAUACAGAACUUAUGUUUACCGUAGAAUGUCUUUCGGGUUAUGUAAUACACCAGCUUCUUUUCAAAGAUGCAUGAUGUCUAUAUUUUCUGAUAUGAUUGAAGAGAUUAUGGAAGUUUUCAUGGAUGAUUUCUCUGUUUAUGGAAAAACUUUUGAUAGUUGUCUUGAAAACUUAGACAAGGUUUUGCAAAGAUGUGAAGAAAAGCAUUUAGUCCUUAAUUUGGAAAAAUGUCAUUUUAUGGUUAGGGAAGGAAUAGUGCUGGGACACCUAGUGUUUGAAAGAGUUAUUGAGGUAGACAAAGCUAAAAUUGAAGUAAUUGAACAACUACCUCCACCUGUGAAUAUAAAAGGAAUUCGAAGCUUUCUUGGCCAUGCUAGUUUUUAUCGCAGAUUCAUAAAAGAUUUCUCAUUUAUUGCUAGACCACUUACUCUUUUGCUAUCCAUGGAUGCUCCUUUCGAAUUUGAUGAUGCAUGCUUAACAUCUUUCAAUUUAUUAAAGAAUGCACUCAUCUAUGCACCAAUCAUUCAACCCCCUGAUUGGUCGUUAUCUUUUGAAAUUAUGUGUGAUGCUAGUGAUUAUGCUGUGGGGGCAGUUUUGGGACAAACUAAAAAUAAGAAGCAUCAUGCAAUUGCUUAUGCCAGUAAAACUUUGAUAGGAGCUCAACUUAAUUAUGCAACCACUGAAAAAGAGCUUCUGGCUGUUGUCUUUGCCAUUGAUAAAUUUAGAUCUUAUUUAGUUGGAGCUAAAAUAAUUGUUUACACUGAUCAUGCUGCACUAAAAUAUCUGCUCACUAAAAAAGAUGCUAAACCUCGCAUGAUUAGAUGGAUCCUAUUACUUUAAGAAUUUGACUUAGAAUUAAAAGAUAAAAAGGGAGUAGAAAAUUCUGUCGCUGAUCACUUGUCUCGAAUGUAUUUUAAGAAUUCACAGGAAACCCCCAUCAAUGAUUCACUCCGGGACGACAUGCUCUACGGGAUUAAUAGGUCUGACCCCUGGUAUGUAGAUAUUGUUAAUUUUAUGGUUUCAGGGUAUGUGCCACCAGGAGCAAACAAGAAGAAGCUUAUUCAAGAAAGUCGUUCACAUAUAUGGGAUGAGCCAUACCUCUUCCGAGUAUGCUCUGAUGGCUUACUCAGGAGAUGUGUGACCACUAAGGAAGGAUGGAAGAUCAUCAACAGAUGUCAUUCAUUACCAUAUGGAGGUCAUUAUGGAGCAUUCCGUACACAUUCAAAGAUCUAGCAAUGUGGAUUCUACUGGCCUACAAUGUAUGAAGACACAAAGCAAUAUAUCAGAAGAUAUGGGCCAUGUCAAAGGCACGGAAACAUAAACACAAGGGAUGCCAUGCCAAUCACCAACAACCUUCAGAUUGAGCUCUUUGAUAUCUGGGGAAUAGAUUACAUGGGUCCAUUUCCCCCAUCAAAGAUGUGUGAGUUCAUCUUGGUGGCAGUUGACUAUGUCUCCAAGUGGGUAGAGGCACUACCUUGCAAGCACGCCGACAACAUCAGUUCAAAGAGGAAGUUUAAAGAAGUUAUAUUUCCAAGAUUUGGAGUUCCAAGAGUAGUGAUAAGUGAUGGAGGAGCACAUUUCAUCGACAAACGCUUCAAGCAAUAUCUAUCAAAACAUGGAAUCCGUCAUAACGUCGCUACUCCCUACCAUCCUGAGACAAGUGGCCAAGCAGAAACUUCCAACAAAAAAAUCAAGAAUAUUCUCUAGAAGAUAGUCAAUGAAAUGGGAACGGCAUGGAAAGACAAGUUACCCGAUGCACUCUGGGCAUACCAGACAGCAUACAAGACACCAAUUGGAAUGUCCCCAUACCAAUUGGUGUACGGGAAGAUUUGCCACCUACCUGUUGAAUUAGAGUUCAAAGCACACUGGGCCAUAAGGAGAUGGAAUAUGGACCUAGAUGUCGCUGGAGAUCACAGAAGAGUGCAACUAUCAGAACUGGAAGAAUGGCGAGAGAAAGCAUAUCACAAUUCGAAGAUCUACAAAGAAAGAGUUAAAUGGUGGCAUGACAUGAGGAUCAAAAAGGAGUUCGCACCCGGAGAUAAGGUAUUACUUUUUAAUUCCAGGGUGAAGCUUUUCGGGCAUGGAGAACUCCGGAGUAAAUGGGAAGGACCAUUCAAGGUAAUCAAUUCAUCAUCCCACGGAGCUAUCACACUUCAAAAUGACGAAGGUACGUUAUUCAAGGUAAAUGGUCAACGUCUUAAAUUAUUUUUAGAGCCCAAUAAAGAAUUAGAAGAGAUAGAUGUGAUCCAUUUCUACCUUCCCAUGGAGAAUUAGAGCCCAACCUUUUUAAUCUGACGUUUUUGGGCCACACAUAUAUUUUCCGAAUAAAGUCUGCAUCUAGAAACACGCUCGAGGAAGCGGGCCAAAGAGAGGAGCCAGACACAGGGCAGGUGCCCAGCCCCUGUCCCCUCUCAGUCCCGAUUUCCUCUGUCACGAUAAACACAUUUAUGGUAAACCAAAUAAUCAUACAGAUGGAAAGUUUCGCACGCACGGUGGCGGGAGUAGCCCGAGCAAACCCUAGAGACACUUUUUGACCCAUAUAUAAACUGACCCCUAACGUCAGUUUUCAAACACCAAUUCAUACAAGCCUUCUCUCCUUCUUCAAUUAGAGCUUGCUUAGUCCCUCGCUGCUCCAAUGGCCGAAGAGUUCCACGACGAUUCGGAAGUCGUCCCCUAUGACCUCAACAAGAAGCCCAAGGAAGACCCCGACGCCCGCGCUCUUGUCCCGACCAACACAGAGCGACAGCUAGAAGCCAUGCCAUUACGCCAGCGCAGCUCCGCCCAAUCCACCAUGCUCAACCAGUUCUCACCGCACCACCGCAGCCCCUACUUCUCAAGGGACCAUCAGCCAACAAGGAGGCCACCGUCAUGGUGCCUGCCAGCACGAGGAUCCUACCACCCAGACCCAAUGAGAGGGUCGUUGGAGUCAAGACCAACCGGAGCGGCGAGAUCAGCAGCAUCCGCUACACUACGGAGGAAGAGAGGCCUUACUUUGAGGGGAUUAUAGCAGCCAAAGUCUGUUUCAUCCCUCCAAAGGCAGCCCCGAAGCACGCUCUCAACGCUCUCGAGACACCUCCUAAGCGUCGCAAGACUAUAGUAGAUUUGAUGAGGACGUUCGUAGGCUAGACAGGAUCAGUCCUCGAUUAACUCUAUCACUAGACAGCUCUCUAACCAGAACACCAUUAUACUAGGUCUUAGGCAUGAUCUUGCUAGUGCUAAUAAAAAGAUUAGGGAGUUAGAGCGCCGCUAGGUUAUCUAGAUUAGAUCUUGAGGCAAUGCAUCUUAGUUAUUUAUCUUUAAAUUUGGUUUAGAUCUAUUUAGCUUUAGUUCAUUACUAGUCAUUUUGUAAUAAAUGCCUCAAGAUUAAUAAAGAGUAUUAUUAUUAUUAUGUCUUGUGUGUCUCUACUUUAUAUUUAUGCAAGAAAGCAGAAAACAAGUAUGGGGGAGAUCCCUCGACAUGCCAAACACACUUCGACUACACCACUCCACGAUUCAGGUACAUACUCUACACACUUUAAACAUACACAUAUAUCUUGGAUUAUGCAAAAUAUUGUCUGUGACAUGAUAAAUUAAAAAGAUUAAAAUGUUUCUAAUCAUGAUUAAUCUCACUCUGUGAUAUUUCCUGAAACCUGCAAUUAUUGAAAAAUCAUUUUAAAACCCUGUGUUACUUAAGUCAAUGUGGAAUGUGAGAUGGUAGAGUAUGAGUAUCUUAUUCUUGAUAUCAAUGUUGCUUGGAGAAUUUAUUUCAAAAUCUUCAAAAAUUCUAGCUACCAUCCUCAGUGUUUUAUAUGCCUGAUAAACCUAUUAAUUAUAAUAAUAAAAGCUAUCUGCUCUGUAUUGAGUUUGUUCAAAAUGAGUUAGACCCUUGUUGAGAGAUUUAUCAUACUCCUAAGAUCAAGACAUUUAUUCAGAAAGAUUCACUCUUCCGAAGUAUUAUUGUGUUAGAGGCAUGGGUUAUGCAAAUAUAAGGAUAUUUCGAGGAAAUAAAAAGGAGCAAGUGCUCGACAACCUUGCAGAAAAAAUGGACAAGUGUCCGGCAGUAGAAUUAGGGGUACCUCGGUAUCCACCUGAAAAAAAAGAGAGAAAAGAAAGAAAAUAAUAGCCCAUGGUCCCUCUAAUAAGCAAUAUGCCAGUAAGAGUUGACAAGUUUUUAAUUUCCAAAGUCUUUGAUCUAAGAGUAUGGCAUUCUUCUCCUCGGAUCCCGUUUUGAUCAGGCAAUAAAUGCAAGGUAAGUACGUUUGAGAAUUUUUGCAAAUUAAAACAGCCUCAGUGAGAAAAAUAAAAGAUAAUGUGUGACAUGAGAGAACCUAUGAGCAUAAAGGUAUGCUAAAUUUCUUUUCAAAAAUAUACAAAAACACCAAGUAACAGGAUUGAGAAGAAAGGACCUCUACUCUUGACCAUAUACUUCCCUGACUACGGUACACAGUGGAUUUUUACACCCUGCAGGUAUGAAGAGAAUGCUUUAGAAUGUUUUAACCCCAGAUAUUUUUCUUAACCAUCCUUUUCUCGAGGAUGAGUAAAAGCCUAAGUAUGGGGGUAUUUGUUGACGGUUCUUAAGUAUCAAUUUUAAUUAUCAAAUAAACAAGAGAAAGGACCAAUAUACAAACAACACUUAGAAUUAGGGUUUGAUCUGACAGAAUUCCACGAGUUUUGUUGUUUAUCUGUUUCUACAGGGGGUUAUCAGGAAAUAAGGAAGAAAGGCCCACAUGUCGGGAAUACAUAGAGAUAUUAACGCACCGCACAAUUUUCUACCAUCUAGAAGACUCCAGAAGCCACGGGAACGAACGGGAAGGCGAUCGGGCCCGGGGGCAGGGC
rnacentral:lncRNA from 1 species